AUUGAACGCUGGCGGCAGGCCUAACACAUGCAAGUCGAACGAGUGGCGGACGGGUGAGUAAUGUCUGGGAAACUGCCUGAUGGAGGGGGAUAACUACUGGAAACGGUAGCUAAUACCGCAUACCAUCAGAUGUGCCCAGAGGGGAUUGGCUUGUGGGUGGGGUAACGGCUCACCAGGGCGACAAUCCCUAGCUGGUCUGGGAGGAUGACCAGCCAAACAGGACUGGAGACACGGUCCAGAGUCCUACGGGAGGCAGCAGUUGGGAAUAUUGCACAAUGGGCGCAAGCCUGAUGCAUCCAUGCCGCGUGUAUGAAGAAGGCCUUCGGGUUGUAAAGUACUUUCAGCGGGGAGGCGUUACCCGCAGAAGAAGCACCGGCUAACUCCGUGCCAGCAGCCGCGGUAAUAC
rnacentral:rRNA from 1 species